rnacentral:rRNA from 1 species
GACGAACGCUGGCGGCGUGCUUAACACAUGCAAGUCGAACGGAAAGGCCCUGCUUUUGUGGGGUGCUCGAGUGGCGAACGGGUGAGUAACACGUGAGUAACCUGCCCUUGACUUUGGGAUAACUUCAGGAAACUGGGGCUAAUACCGGAUAGGAGCUCCUGCUGCAUGGUGGGGGUUGGAAAGUUUCGGCGGUUGGGGAUGGACUCGCGGCUUUUCAGCUUGUUGGUGGGGUAGUGGCUUACCAAGGCUUUGACGGGUAGCCGGCCUGAGAGGGUGACCGGCCACAUUGGGACUGAGAUACGGCCCAGACUCCUACGGGAGGCAGCAGUGGGGAAUAUUGCGCAAUGGGCGGAAGCCUGAUGCAGCAACGUCGCGUGCGGGAUGACGGCCUUCGGGUUGUAAACCGCUUUCGCCUGUGACGAAGCGUGAGUGACGGUAAUGGGUAAAGAAGCACCGGCUAACUACGUG